rnacentral:rRNA from 1 species
GAUGAAAUGCGCAGAGAUAUGGAGGAACACCAGUGGCGAAGGAGACUUUCUGGUCUGUAACUGACGCUGAUGUGCGAAAGCGUGGGGAUCAAAACAGGAUUAGAUACCCUGGUAGUUCACGCCGUAAACGAUGAGUGCUAAGUGUUAGGGGGUUUCCGCCCCUUAGUGCUGCAGGUAACGCAUUAAGCACUCCGCCUGGGGAGUACGACCGCAAGGUUGAAACUCAAAGGAAUAGACGGGGACCCGCACAAGCGGUGGAGCAUGUGGUUUAAUUUGAAGCAACGCGAAGAACCUUACCAAAUCUUGACAUCCUUUGACCGCUUUAGAGAUAGAGUCUUCCCCUUUGGGGGACAAAGUGACAGGUGGUGCAUGGUUGUUGUCAGCUCGUGUCGUGAGAUGUUGGGUUAAGUCCCGCAACGAGCGCAACCCUUAAGCUUAGUUGCCAUCAUUAAGUUGGGCACUCUAAGUUGACUGCCGGUGACAAACCGGAGGAAGGUGGGGAUGACGUCAAAUCAUCAUGCCCCUUAUGAUUUGGGGUACACACGUGCUACAAUGGACAAUACAAAGGGCAGAUAAACCGCGAGGUCAAGCAAAUCCCAUAAAGUUGUUCUCAGUUUGGAUUGUAGUCUGCAACUCG